CAGCCGCCACGGGAAUACAGAGGGUGCAAGCGUUAAUCGGAAUUACUGGGCGUAAAGCGCGCGUAGGUGGUUUGUUAAGUUGGAUGUGAAAUCCCCGGGCUCAACCUGGGAACUGCAUCCAAAACUGGCAAGCUAGAGUAUGGUAGAGGGUGGUGGAAUUUCCUGUGUAGCGGUGAAAUGCGUAGAUAUAGGAAGGAACACCAGUGGCGAAGGCGACCACCUGGACUGAUACUGACACUGAGGUGCGAAAGCGUGGGGAGCAAACAGGAUUAGAUACCCCGGUAGUCCCUGUCUCUUAUAA
rnacentral:rRNA from 1 species